AGAGAUUGAACAUAAGAGUUUGAUCCUGGCUCAGAUUGAACGCUGGCGGCAUGCUUUACACAUGCAAGUCGGACGGCAGCACAGGGAAGCUUGCUUCUCGGGUGGCGAGUGGCGAACGGGUGAGUAACAUAUCGGAACGUACCGGGUAGCGGGGGAUAACUGAUCGAAAGAUCAGCUAAUACCGCAUACGUCUUGAGAGGGAAAGCAGGGGACCUUCGGGCCUUGCGCUAUCCGAGCGGCCGAUAUCUGAUUAGCUGGUUGGCGGGGUAAAGGCCCACCAAGGCGACGAUCAGUAGCGGGUCUGAGAGGAUGAUCCGCCACACUGGGACUGAGACACGGCCCAGACUCCUACGGGAGGCAGCAGUGGGGAAUUUUGGACAAUGGGCGCAAGCCUGAUCCAGCCAUGCCGCGUGUCUGAAGAAGGCCUUCGGGUUGUAAAGGACUUUUGUCAGGGAAGAAAAGGCCGUUGCCAAUAUCGGCGGCCGAUGACGGUACCUGAAGAAUAAGCACCGGCUAACUACGUGCCAGCAGCCGCGGUAAUACGUAGGGUGCGAGCGUUAAUCGGAAUUACUGGGCGUAAAGCGGGCGCAGACGGUUACUUAAGCAGGAUGUGAAAUCCCCGGGCUCAACCCGGGAACUGCGUUCUGAACUGGGUGACUCGAGUGUGUCAGAGGGAGGUGGAAUUCCACGUGUAGCAGUGAAAUGCGUAGAGAUGUGGAGGAAUACCGAUGGCGAAGGCAGCCUCCUGGGAUAACACUGACGUUCAUGUCCGAAAGCGUGGGUAGCAAACAGGAUUAGAUACCCUGGUAGUCCACGCCCUAAACGAUGUCAAUUAGCUGUUGGGCAACUUGAUUGCUUGGUAGCGUAGCUAACGCGUGAAAUUGACCGCCUGGGGAGUACGGUCGCAAGAUUAAAACUCAAAGGAAUUGACGGGGACCCGCACAAGCGGUGGAUGAUGUGGAUUAAUUCGAUGCAACGCGAAGAACCUUACCUGGUUUUGACAUGUGCGGAAUCCUCCGGAGACGGAGGAGUGCCUUCGGGAGCCGUAACACAGGUGCUGCAUGGCUGUCGUCAGCUCGUGUCGUGAGAUGUUGGGUUAAGUCCCGCAACGAGCGCAACCCUUGUCAUUAGUUGCCAUCAUUCGGUUGGGCACUCUAAUGAGACUGCCGGUGACAAGCCGGAGGAAGGUGGGGAUGACGUCAAGUCCUCAUGGCCCUUAUGACCAGGGCUUCACACGUCAUACAAUGGUCGGUACAGAGGGUAGCCAAGCCGCGAGGCGGAGCCAAUCUCACAAAACCGAUCGUAGUCCGGAUUGCACUCUGCAACUCGAGUGCAUGAAGUCGGAAUCGCUAGUAAUCGCAGGUCAGCAUACUGCGGUGAAUACGUUCCCGGGUCUUGUACACACCGCCCGUCACACCAUGGGAGUGGGGGAUACCAGAAGUAGGUAGGGUAACCGCAAGGAGUCCGCUUACCACGGUAUGCUUCAUGACUGGGGUGAAGUCGUAACAAGGUAGCCGUAGGGGAACCUGCGGCUGGAUCACCUCCUUUCUAGAG
rnacentral:rRNA from 22 species